rnacentral:tRNA from 1 species
GGCCGAGCGGUUAAGGCGGUAGACUCAAGAUCUUCUUGACAGUCUAAGACUGUAAACAUUCUACUAGGGAAACCUGCAUGAGUUCGAAUCUCAU